AUAUUUUAUAUAUUAUUAAAUAAAAUUGAUAUAUUUUCACUAUAAAUAUUGUUUUAUUUAUUAAUUACAUUAGUAUGACAAAUAAAAAAAUAAUAAUACUCACAGUAUCAUGUGGGAUUUAAAGCUUGUUUUACUGUCUAUAUCUCCACAAGAAUAGUCUAAUCCUGAUAUUCCUCCUGUUACCUUAUAUUGAUUGUACCAUCUAUCUCUUGGUCCAGUAACUUCUACUGCCUCAUAUCUAUUUCUUCUAGUAUCUUCUAGUAGCUUCAUUCUUAGGUUGAUCUGCUAUCAAUAUUCCUUUAUUUCUUUUUUCUUCCUUUACUAUAUCUUUUUCUGGAGGAACUACUUUUCUCUUAAUGCCCUUAAACUUUGAGGAUCCCAUUCUGCAAAUCCUUCAGGCAGAAUUCCUGUUGAUCUUGGAUUUCUAUCUAGUUCUUUUUAAAAGUCUACUCUCAUUUCUAACUAUUCUCAUUUCUAACUGUCUCAUAUCAUUAUAAAUACUUCUUUUUAAUUCUCUAUGAUAACAAUCCAUAUUAUUUUGAAUUUUUAAAACUGUAUCUUUUAGUUCCUGUAUCGUUUCAGCUGUAUUAUCUACUUUACGUGUCAUUACACUAUCUUUUUGUACUGAGGUUCUUCACUAUCGCUCAUUUUUUAGUAACACUAGGAGUUGUUACAUAAUUUAUUCCAAAUUUACCUCCUAUUUCUUUUAACAUUUCUUUUAUUUCUCUUCGUUCUUUUUGAACUUCAGUACAUCCUGGCCUAAUAUCUGUAAAUAUUUCAUAUUUUUCUAAUUUAUCUAAUCUUUUUUCUUUUAUUUUUUCUUUAAUUUUAUCAUUCAUAUCUUCCUAAAUUCUGAUACCAAAUCAGGUCCCUCGCAGUUUAGCAAAAUACUUUGGGAUUAAGAUUAAUAUUUCUAUCAAAAACAUGCCUCUCUCUUCUAAUCUACUCUUUAAAUUAUUGUCAAAAUGAUGAUUUAAUAGCAUAUUAUUUAAUCUGUUUAUUUCUCUAUUAAAUUCUUCAGUAUAAUCAUUAACAUUAUCUGUUUUAGAAUCAAUAUAACUUAUAUCGUUUACUAAUUUUAAUGCUACCCAACAAGAACUCAUUCUAUCAAAAUAGACUUUCCUUUUUAAUAGCUAUAUACUUCCCUUGUAAAUUCCUAAGAUAUUUAAUAUUUCUCGACAAGAUAUUAGCCCAACAUGCUUCCGCAAAAUAUCAAGUUACUCUAGCCUUCAUACCUCAAUCCUGGAACAACGGCGACACCAAAUCAAGCCUUCAAACUGGACUCCAGAGGCUUCACUGCUGAUUGACCUAACUAGAACAAAUCUUGGAGGGUUAUUGGGAUAAUAUGAAGCUUAGAAAUAAAAUAUCUUAAGAUCUACUGAAAGAACAACGCUAGUUAAAGGAAAAUCCUUUUCUUUAUUUAGAGGCAUGGUAGAGAAAAUGUUUACAAAGAGAAGAGAGUGGCAAGCCAUCGAUGCCCAAAU
rnacentral:misc_RNA from 1 species